GGCGCGCCCGGCAGCCUGUGAGGCGGCCAGCAGGGGCGCGGGAGCCUGUGGAGUUUGGUGAAGCCAGAAUUUGGGGGAUUUGAAUGAGAACUGACCUUUUCCAGUCCUGUGGCCACUGCUGAGUUUUCCAAAUUUGCUGGCAUAUGGAGUGCAGCACUUUCACAGCAUCAUCUUUCAGGAUUUGAAGUAGCUCAACUGGAAUUCCAGCCAUCACCUCUACUAGAUUUGUUUGUAGUGAUGCUUCCUAAGGCCCACUUGACUUCACACUCCAAGAUGUCUGACUCUAGCUGGAGGAUAAUUGCCUUGCAGUGUUGUGUAGGUUUCUGCCACCAACAACGUGAAUCACCAUUCUAGGUGUAUCUACCUCACUGGAACUGACUCAAAUUUGUCCCUUUUAUGGCUGAGUAAUACCCCGUUGUAUAUAUGUACC